GUGUCAGCAGCCGCGGUAAUACGGAGGGGGCGAGCGUUGUUCGGAAUCACUGGGUGUAAAGGGUGCGUAGGCGGUCCGAUAAGUCUGAUGUGAAAGCCCUGGGCUCAACUCAGGAACUGCAUUGGAUACUGACGGACUGGAGUACCGGAGAGGGAAGCGGAAUUCCUGGUGUAGCGGUGAAAUGCGUAGAUACCAGGAGGAACACCGGUGGCGAAGGCGGUUUCCUGGCCGAGUACUGACGCUGAGGCACGAAAGCGUGGGGAGCGAACGGGAUUAGAUACCCCAGUAGUCC
rnacentral:rRNA from 1 species